rnacentral:rRNA from 1 species
CGGCAUGCCUAACACAUGCAAGUCAAACGUGAUCUAGGCUUCGGUCUGGUGAAAGUGGCAGACGGGUGAGUAACGCGUGGGAACCUGCCCAAUGGUAGGGAAUAACCGCGGGAAACUGCGGCUAAUACCCUAUGACCCCUAUGGGGGGAAAGAUUUAUCGCCAUUGGAGGGGCCCGCGUCGGAUUAGGUAGUUGGUGGGGUAACGGCCUACCAAGCCAUCGAUCCGUAGCUGGUCUGAGAGGAUGAUCAGCCACACUGGGACUGAGAUACGGCCCAGACUCCUACGGGAGGCAGCAGUGGGGAAUAUUGGACAAUGGGGGCAACCCUGAUCCAGCAAUGCCGCGUGGGUGAUGAAGGCCUUCGGGUUGUAAAGCCCUUUCGGCGGGGAAGAUGAUGACGGUACCCGCAGAAGAAGCCCCGGCUAACUUCGUG